AGGAAUAAAAAUACUCUCUCUGUAAGUUUCCUGUAAAUUACUAGAAGUAUUUUAGUAUGCUUAAGCUCACAAAUUUUGGAUUACACAGGAAAUGAACACACACAACUUCUCUCCCUUGUUUUGCUUCCCUCAAUCUUGCUUAUUAUUCUGGUAACACCAUGAUAUGAGGAAGAUAAGUUGUAAUAUUAGUCUCACGCAAUUUUAAGGUAACAUGUUUUUUUGUUACAAUUAUUAUUUUAUUUUACGGCGUGCGAUAGAUCAGUGUUCCCAAUCGAUAUUUAACUGUAAUAUAUCGAUUGGAUGACAGUUAAUAGUAAGAGAGAAGUUUAUUUCAAAAAAAUAUAUUUUUGCAUUGAGAGAAAAUCAUAUUUUCAAUUGAUGACUAGCCGAUGCCGAUAGAAAAAUAUAUCAAUUUUAUAAAUUGUGGUUUUUGUGUGGGUCUCAUAAGGGUGCAACUCUGAGAUUCAAAAAUAGUAUUCCGAUCUGGCUGUAUGUUAGGAGUGUACUCAUUGGGACCCAUUUGUAUAUCAAGAUUUCACCGAGACAUGGGUGUUUAGUACUUCGAAAAAAACGAGACCAUCUCAUGCCUCCAAAUCCCCUAAUUUGGUUCCAAUAGUUUGGGAGAUUUUAUCCACUAUAAUAUAUAAUUUAUUAUAGUAAGACCCAAAUAACAAACAAAGAUGCAGUUGUGAAGGCUGGAUAGAUCUCAUGCAGCAUACUCAUUAAACAACAAAGAUGCGGUUGUGAAGGUUGGAUAGAUCUCAUGCAGCAUACUCAUUGUUCAUGAAUGCAACCAUUGGAAACACAUUGAUAAAGUCCCAUGAGCAAUUGCAGAAGGCUUUUGACAGAGUAGAUUGAUGAGUUCUCCAAGACAUAAUGAGAUUGAUGGGUCCAAUAGGGCAAGAGAUUGCUGGAUUGAUGGGUCCAAUAGUCCAAAGGGCUUCUUUUUUUACCUACGGCUAUCAGACAUAGGGAUCCCCUCUCCCGUUUUCUCUUCUCCAUCUUAUGAUGAUCGAGUCGAUAUUUGAUAGGGGCGAAUGUCGGGGUUUAGAGUAUCCUUGAGCGGACCACUGAACUCCCCUCGACAUUGUACAUAAAAUAUGAAGCUGAUCGGGAUUCUUGCUCAAGGAGACAAUUCACCGACCUCGCUUUAUUAGUGGGAGACAGGAUAGAAAGCUUUCCUAGUAAGUAUCUAGGUCUCCCAAUCUCUGUGGGCAAAGCAUCAAGGGCCUCAGUUGAAUUUUCCCCAAGUUUUUUUUCAUUCAAUGCCAAUUUGAUAUGGUUUUGGAUGGAAUGCUGAUAUCAUCACACAUAUGAGCUUCAUGCUAUUUUGAGAAUGUAUAUAUGGCCGCCAUGUUUCAAUUCCAAGG
rnacentral:lncRNA from 1 species